AAGAGAGAAAAAUAUAUAUAUAAUAUUAUUAUAAUGUACUUAUCUAAUAUAAAUCGCAAAAAGUGUGAGAUGCCGGAAGUGAAAUGAGCGAGCGAUCUCUCGACCAAUUACGGGCUGCUUCUAGGACUGUGCAACGGUAAAGCGGAUUUACUCCGGACACCGGAGAUUUUCCGACACAACAGGAAACGACCUACUUCCGUGAAUCAAGUUCCUCUACAUUCAUUGGAACGUCCCCACCCAGCCCAUGCAGUCAGCACCAUGUUGAAGAGCUUACCAAAUACUAUUCCCAAAAAGUUUUGUUAAUUGCUCAGUUUGAACUUAAUAAUUUUAUGAAAAAUAUUAAGUACCUAUGUAUUUUUAUAACCAUUUAAAAAAAAAAUUAAGUAUCAUUUUUUUCAAUAGGUUUAGGAAAUUUUAAUAAUAUAAGUAAGUGAACUGCAGCAAUGAGUUGAGAGUGCAAUUUCUCAGAUUCUUGUAAUUAUUUAUAGUAUUUAAUUACAUUAAUUGUAGGAAAAAUUUUGUACAACAAGUUAUUAUGAAAUAUUCUAUUGUCCUCAAAAUUUGUGUAGAAGAAUAUUUUGUUGUGACAAUGAAAACUAUCUUGAUAUUUAAAGUGUAAAUAUAAUAAAAUAUACAUUAUUUACAUAGGAAAAUAUAUAUUCUAUUUAUUAUAAUUGUGGUCAUCCUGCUUGAGAGAGAGACACCUGCAGGUAUUGAUAAUUGCACGGGUUCUUCUCAUAUAGAUAUGAUGGUCAUUUAUAAUAAUAAUAUUAUGUUGUUUGUUUCCUCCAUUAGAACGCUGUAAUAUAAAAAAAAUAUUGUAUUACCUACAGUUACUUAACAAUAGUUAUAAGUAUAAUGUGAAAUUGUACCAAUGGUAAAAUAAUAUAGUCAUACAACAAUAAUUUGAAACUGUAAAUAUCAAUUUAAUGUGUUGUAAGUCCAUCAGUAUACAAUCAGUGUACUUAUAUGAAGUUUUUAAUAAAGAUGUAAAGAAAGAUAAUUUUCAAAUUCAAAUUAUAUUUAUUGUGGUACACAGGUAGGAUUAAGGUGUUAUACAUUUACUUAUAUUACAGUACAGCUAUGAUCCGUUAUAAUAGCAUACAACAAUUUAAAAUUCUAGAGAAGACAGAAUACAUUCUAUACAUAUUAACAUCAUCAAGAUGAUCGUUCAAACAGUAAUAACAUUUGUCAUGCAGAAUUUUAAAUAAUUUAUUUUUAUAAUCACUAAUGUCUUUCAUAAUAUGUCUCUUAUUGGUUUUGGAAUUUUUUUAUAAUUAUGUCAGGAAUUAAGUGAAAUACACUUUUAUGGAAUAA
rnacentral:lncRNA from 1 species